CAGUCGCCACGGUAAUACGAAGGGGGCUAGCGUUGUUCGGAUUUACUGGGCGUAAAGCGCACGUAGGCGGAUCGAUCAGUCAGGGGUGAAAUCCCAGAGCUCAACUCUGGAACUGCCUUUGAUACUGUCGAUCUGGAGUAUGGAAGAGGUGAGUGGAAUUCCGAGUGUAGAGGUGAAAUUCGUAGAUAUUCGGAGGAACACCAGUGGCGAAGGCGGCUCACUGGUCCAUUACUGACGCUGAGGCACGAAAGCGUGGGGAGCAAACAGGAUUAGAGACCCGCGUAGUCCCUGUCUCUUAUAC
rnacentral:rRNA from 1 species